rnacentral:rRNA from 1 species
GGGGGGGGGGGGGGGGGGGGGGGGGACGUGGAGGGCGAGCGGAGAGAGGGGGGGCUUGCUCCUCUGACGGUAGCGGCGGCCGGGUGAGUAGCACGUGGAUAACCUACCUCUGAGACUGGGAUAACUUCGGGAAAACGGAGCUAAUACCGGAUAAUAUAUUGAACCGCAUGGUUCAAUAGUGAAAGACGGUUUUGCUGUCACUUAUAGAUGGAUCCGCGCCGCAUUAGCUAGUUGGUAAGGUAACGGCUUACCCAGGCAACGAUGCGUAGCCGACCUGAGAGGGUGAUCGGCCACACUGGAACUGAGACACGGUCCAGACUCCUACGGGAGGCAGCAGUAGGGAAUCUUCCGCAAAGGGCGAAAGCCUGACGGAGCAACGCCGCGUGAGUGAUGAAGGUCUUCGGAUCGUAAAACUCUGUUAUUAGGGAAGAACAAAUGUGUAAGUAACUAUGCACGUCUUGACGGUACCUAAUCAGAAAGCCACGGCUAACUACGUG